ACCUAAUAGAUACCCUGGUAGUCCACGCCCUAAACGAUGCGAACUGGAUGUUGGGUACAUUACGGUACUCAGUGUUGAAAGCUAAACGCGUUAAGUUCGCCGCCUGGGGAGUACGGUCGCAAGACUGAAACCCAAAGGAAUUGACGGGGGCCCGGCACAAGCGGUGGAGUAUGUGGUUUAAUUCGAUGCAACGCGAAGAACCUUACCUGGCCUUGACAUCUGUCGAAUCCUGCAGAGAUGCGGGAGUGCCGCAAGGAACGACAAGACAGGUGCUGCAUGGCUGUCGUCAGCUCGUGUCGUGAGAUGUUGGGUUAAGUCCCGCAACGAGCGCAACCCUUGUCCCUAGCUGCCAGCACAUCAUGGUGGGAACUCUAGGGAGACUGCCGGUGACAAACCGGAGGAAGGUGGGGAUGACGUCAAGUCCUCAUGGCCCUUACGGCCAGGGCUACACACGUACUACAAUGGUCGGUACAGAGGGUUGCGAAGCCGCGAGGCGAAGCCAAUCCCAG
rnacentral:rRNA from 1 species